rnacentral:rRNA from 1 species
UACGGAGGGUGCAAGCGUUGUCCGGAUUUAUUGGGUUUAAAGGGUGCGUAGGUGGUCUAUUAAGUCAGUGGUGAAAUGCUUCAGCUUAACUGGAGAAGUGCCAUUGAUACUGAUAGGCUAGAGUGUAGUCGAGGCAGGCGGAAUUUAUGGUGUAGCGGUGAAAUGCGUAGAUAUUGGAAAGAACACCGAUGGCGAAAGCACUUUACUGGGCUAUUACUAACACUCAGAGACGAAAGCUAGGGUAGCAAAUGGG